rnacentral:lncRNA from 1 species
UGUAAUUGGUUUUUGGUUGAUUUUUACACUUUUUCCUUUUUAUUUAUUCAUUUGGCUGAGCCGCGUGGCCUGCGGGAGAUCCCCGAGCCGGGACUGAACCUGGCCCUGGCGGUGAACCGGACGCCAGGGAGUUCCCCAGCUCUCCUUCCUGACGAGCUGACGAAAUUGCACACCCUCACCACCGCCCCUUUCAGGAUCACACACUCUGGGCUGUCUGCUCAGAUCGCCUCCAGCGACAGGGAACAGCCCUUGGGGUCCACUGAGGUGACUCCAGCUCAACCUGUUUGGCUUGCAUUGCCCACUUGUCCCCAUGAAAACCAGGAUACAGCCUCUUCCUCAGGGGUCCCCCCACCUCCCAGCCGACCCUGGGUGUGUGUCUGUGUGGCCCUGCCUGGUGUAACGUGUAACCGCUCGCUGGGAUCUGAGUGCAGUAAACUGCCUCUGAACGGUGUCUGUCUUCGGAUCCAGCGGCCCCAUCACACCUACAUGCACAACAAUGCGAUGGACGGAAACAUGCCUUUGCCUUCAGCCUUCUCAGGCAGGCCAGUUCUCUGCUUCCUUCCCACCCUUCACCGGCCUGGUGUUUGCACCGUGACUCCAGGGGAACAAGGACUGUUUCAAAGUCUGAUUUGCCUCCUUAGCUGCACUUCCAAAGGCUGCCCCUCAGGCCAUCCUCUGAGUCAGUGCUCCGCAGCACUUUGGUUUUUUCUGGAUCCACCCUCUUCUGAGCACCCUCUCCUGGUUGGCACCACCACCGGCCUCUCUGGCUGCUGCUGCUCCUCCUCAUUGCCUCCAGGAAUCUCCACCUUCGAGGCACCGAGGUUGAGGAUGGCAAAAUGCUCGACGUGUAGGCGGGACCAGACUUGGAAUCCAGUGGGUGCAGAGAUUUGUCGCAGGGGCAGUGUAAGGGACACAGGGUAGGGAGGGGAGAGGUCAGAGGGUGACUGGGGCGGGAUGCUGGCCAGGACAGAUUCUACGGCGAAGGAG